rnacentral:rRNA from 1 species
CAGGCCCUACGGGGCGCAGCAGGCGCGAAACCUUUACACUGCACGCAAGUGCGAUAAGGGGACCCCAAGUGCGAGGGCAUAUAGUCCUCGCUUUUCACGACUGUAAGGCGGUCGUGGAAUAAGAGCUGGGCAAGACCGGUGCCAGCCGCCGCGGUAAUACCGGCAGCUCAAGUGAUGACCGAUAUUAUUGGGCCUAAAGCGUCCGUAGCCGGCCACGAAGGUUCAUCGGGAAAUCCGCCAGCUCAACUGGCGGGCGUCCGGUGAAAACCACGUGGCUUGGGACCGGAAGGCUCGAGGGGUACGUCCGGGGUAGGAGUGAAAUCCCGUAAUCCUGGACGGACCACCGAUGGCGAAAGCACCUCGAGAAGACGGAUCCGACGGUGAGGGACGAAAGCUAGGGUCUCGAACCGGAUUAGAUACCCGGGUAGUCCUAGCUGUAAACGAUGCUCGCUAGGUGUGACACAGGCUACGAGCCUGUGUUGUGCCGUAGGGAAGCCGAGAAGCGAGCCGCCUGGGAAGUACGUCCGCAAGGAUGAAACUUAAAGGAAUUGGCGGGGGAGCACUA